rnacentral:rRNA from 1 species
GGAAUCUUCCACAAUGGACGCAAGUCUGAUGGAGCAACGCCACGUGAGUGAAGAAGGUUUUCGGAUCGUAAAGCUCUGUUGUUGGUGAAGAAGGAUAGAGGCAGUAACUGGUCUUUAUUUGACGGUAAUCAACCAGAAAGUCACGGCUAACUACGUGCCAG